UUUCAAUGAUAGACCACCUGUGUUAACGACAUUUUUCAAGAGUGUUAAGAAAAAAUUUGAUAUUUAACACUAAACCGGUCUCGUAUUGAUCGGACCAAUAACGGAAUGCAGAAUUUGAUGAAAUAUUUCUUGGAAAGAGAAAAAGACAAAUAAACAAACCGGUCAUGCGAUACGUUUAACAUUCAUUGGGGAAGAAAGUGUAUUUUAAUUAAGGAUGGAAUAGAAAAAUAGAUUGUAAAAUGACAAGACUAGGAAUUAUUAGGAUACUUUGGGGUACAAGAAGAAACAAAAUGUAG